UCCCUGGUGGUCUAGUGGUAAGGAUUCAGCACUCUCAUGGGCUGUGGCCUGGGUUCAAUCCCUGGUCUGGGAA
rnacentral:tRNA from 1 species